rnacentral:lncRNA from 10 species
AGCAGUGUGGCACUGCUGCUCCAGAAGUCUGGCUUCAUCAGCAGUGAUGCAUGGCUCUGAGCUCUGAACAGGAAGCAUGGUUGAUCUGUGCUGAAGGCUUGGUUGAUCUCUUGAAUAAACUGAGAGAUGAUGGAAUGGUGCACAGUGAAUCUCCUCUGAAGACUGAACAUCUUCCUUGGACCAUGAUCAGUGAACAUACUGGAACAUACUGGAACAUUCUGACACCAUUUUCCAUCCCAACCCCUGUUCUCCCUUAGUUUUCUGGUCUUAGGGUUACAACUUGAAGUGAGUACCUUCCAUUGUAGCACUCAUUUCUAAAAGCAUUAAAGCCAAUUUUCUGACUCAUCUGUAUUUCAAGUCUAAAUGUUUACUUCAUUUAGUUGGAUUAAUAGCCCCAUAGUUUCUUAUUAGUGAAACUUAUUUAAAUAUGAUAAUGAACUAGUAUUUCUUGUGGUAAUUUCUGAUGCUGGAUAUGUGAACACAUAAUAUGCUCUCUUUAGUGGGAUCCUACAUGAGGACAGUAAUUGUAGUUCAGCAGGAUGUAGCUGAAAACACCUGGCUCCGCUCCACUCUUUACAUUGAAUUUUCUUCAAAAUUAAAUUACAUUUUGGGAAGAUUUCCAUUUGUCCAUAUACAUGUUUGAAAAUUGUUGGACAGCAUAAAAUCAUUUAAAAGAUUGUCCUAUUUCCCAUAUUGUCUCAAGUGUGUAUUACUGUUCAGUUCUAAAUUAUUGUUUAAAUGGAUCGCUGUUUUUAUAUGGCUGAAAAGCAAAUCAUGUUAGUUUGGGCAUACAUUCAAUGCAAUGAAGAGGCACUUGAACACACAUCAUAGGUGUACUUUUGUUGCAGAUAUAGAACACAAAUAUAAAAUGCACAAGUUAAAUCUGCCCCAGGAUAAUUCUAAUUGUCCCAAAAUACAUUUAUACACAAAUAUGACAUUGAAUGCUCUCUACUGGCAGGGCCAUGUUAAUGUUCUAUUAACAACAUGUUAAUUUGUUAUUUCACUAAACUAAGAUUACAGCUUUUAGUUGCUUAUCUAUUCAUAUGCUGUAUUAAUUGCAUGGCACAAUAGAUAAACAUGUUUUAGCCAUACGUUAGUUAUAGAGAGCAUGCUUGAUGGAUUGUGGACCUGUUAUGACAUCAAAAAUAUAGGCAAAUAGAAAACAUUCAAUGGAAAACCUCUUGAUGUAUGAAUUUUAUGUUAUAUCCUAUGAAAGGAGAAUCUCCUACAA